GCUGUCCUUCAAUGAGGGUUUCGGGGGGAUGGAGACUCUGACAGAGAGCGGAAGAAAGAAAGAGAGAGAGAGAGAGAGAGAGAGAGAUGACGAUGGAAAGAGAGCGAAGGGGAAAGGUAUGAGUCAUGGAUUUCAGAAGUGGGGAUACGGAUUAUCCGGAUCUACCGCUGCAUGCCUGGAUUUCGAAAGAUAAGUGCUUUUAAAAUUUUUUUUUUUUUCUAUCAGCUUAGAUCUGCCUUUUUGUUGUGGAUUAUUUUCGAAUUUUUUAGUGUGUUAGGUCAGAUUUUGGGGGAAUCAUCAGAGAUAUUUAUUUCCCUUAUUAGUUUUCUUUUCUCUCAUUUUGCACAUUGAUCUCUCUGUCUGCCUGUUUGUUCUCUGUCUUAAGGUCCGUAAUUUUUUUUUUUUUUUUUUGGGGUUUUUUGUAUGGCUUUUUUUUUUUCUUUUUGUUUUCCAGGUUAUAGAUCUAAUGCUCUUUUGUAUACCAAUCUUGGUUUAGUUUUCUUUUCUCUCAUUUUGCACAUUCAUCUCUCUGUCUGCGUGUUUGUUCUCUGUGUAUGCAGUUAAAUGACGAUGUUGUAUUUCAUAUGCAAGAAAUGAUUUCAUCAAGUAUGUUGUAUCUACUGUAUAUGCAAAAGAGAUUGCUAGCUAAUCUUAUUCUUAUUAACUCUUCCCUUUUACCUUUCGAUUUCUGUUACGAUGCAGGCUAUUGAAUUUGGAGAAAGUUUGCAUGCAAACUCUAUUUUGCAUAAUGUUCUUCAGUGAGCCUUUGAAGUUUGCCUUGGAAGUGUCUUUAUAUUCUCAUUCACUUUGUUUUAUUGUUAGGAAAUUCUGGGUGGAAAGAAUAAUACUCAAUCAAAAUUACAUUUGAUCUACAAGUGGUUGGACUGACAUUUUUCUUAUACAAUGAAGGCGUGAAAUAUGUGGACAAUUACAAUUUUUGUUUUCAUGUCAAACCAACUUGCUUCACAUAUAUUAUGCCAUUGUUGACAUGUAUUCUUCCGUUGUUUUCAACAGUGCUUUUAUGUUGCACCAGGAAAAUUCUAUUUGAGGAUGGGAACCACCUGUAUCGGUUCUUGGAUGAUGAUCCAAUUGUAUCUCAUUCAUGGUUUGGACAGUUAUCAGAAUAGGAAGGGAUAACUGAAUUGAUUUCAUGGAUUAAAGUAGGUUGGGUUAAUUAUGCUUUAGCAGAUGCUUUCUUUGACUUAAUGUCAAUUAAUUGACAUUUAUCAUAGGCUCGAUGUGCAAGAAUCUUCUUUUUAUUUUUUCAAUUGAUGCUUUAGCAGUUUCUAUUAUCUACUUUUUGGGGUAUAAAUCAUGUCUAUAAUUUCAAAAUACAUGUUCUUCAUGACAAUCUAUGGUAUUUAUAAAAUAAUUCAGGUUAGAGUAAUUUUUUUUUCCUUUCCCUUCACUGCACUGCAGUCCCGGUGAAAAGCACUUGCAGACUUGCAGAGGCACUAUGCACCUUGAGAAGCAGAGCGAUAUGUAGUGCCAACCUGAGUCACAGUUGAAGUUUAUUACAGAGGCCUGACUACAGUUGAAUAUGGGCGAGUACUAACAUGGACAUAUGCUAAUUGAUAUUAUUUGCCGGAGCAUGAACAUGCCAAGUUCUGAGUACUUGCAAGGUGAAGUUGAGUCUGGGUUGGAACGGCUUCAUCAAUGUGCAGAAAAUGAGAUCCAAGUUUACCUCAAUGAUAAGGAAUUUCAAUGAGUUUCGCACAAAACUUGCUGGAUAGACCAGGUUAUGUUCUACUAAAGAUAUUACGCUACUUUUCUGAUUGGAUAAGUUGACUCGGGUUACAGUGAUAUAGCUUUUCAGUUUAUUAAUGCUAACAUGUUAGUUUUGCUAAGUGGGAAUGCCAUAAUAUAAAUUUUAUAGAAAUGAUGAAUGGGCCAAUCUGAAGUAACAAAUUUCAGCUGAUGAAUGAACUCUUAUAUGACUGCCACUGCAUAUACUCAUCUUUUAUUUUGUUGGGUUUUAUUUUUUUAUUUUUAUUUUUUUUUUGGUAAAAUGCAAUGUUGGUUUCGCGAAGAACUGACCUCUAUCUUAUCUAUAGCUCUAUACGCAUGUAGUUUUUCUCUUUUUUGGUCUCGAGUAUUUGGUUGAUUUUAUUUAACAAUCUUUUGGAAUAUAGAGAAUUUUUGCACCAAUGUCUUAUUUCUGGAUUUCCUGAUGAUUUAGCAUUGAGAUGUUGGGCAAAGGUGUCUCAUGGGAACCACAGAUUACUCGAAACUAUCUCAAAGAAGUGGAGAGAUUUCUUAUUAGCUCAGACCAUGCCAACUAUGAAGCUAUAGAAAAAUGGUGCGGAAAUUGGCUGUUUGUUAUUGACGAGAUAUAAUCCAAUAGCUAAUAAGUAUGCUCCUAUAUUCGACACUUAAAAUAUGUCUAGAACUGAUGUUACUAUUACAGUAUUACUACUUUCAUUUUUACCGAAGAAAAGGUUUUUCAUUCUUUA